rnacentral:rRNA from 1 species
GUGGAGCAAUUCCUGCAGUAAAGYGGCGUACGGGUGAGUAACACGUGGGUAAUCUACCUUUUGGUGGGGAAUAACCCUGGGAAACCGGGGCUAAUACCGCAUAAGCUCGAAAGAGGAAAAGAGAAAUUUGCCGAAAGAGGAGCCCGCGGCUGAUUAGCUAGUUGGUGAGGUAAAGGCUCACCAAGGCGAAGAUCGGUAGCCGGCCUGAGAGGGCACACGGCCACACUGGCACUGAAACACGGGCCAGACUCCUACGGGAGGCAGCAGUGGGGAAUCUUGCACAAUGGGGGAAACCCUGAUGCAGCGACGCCGCGUGAGCGAUGAAGCCCUUCGGGGUGUAAAGCUCUUUCGGCCCGAACGAUAAUGACGGUACGGGAAGAAGAAGCUGCGGCUAACUACGUGCCAGCAGCCGCGGUAAUACGUAGGCAGCGAGCGUUGUUCGGAGUUACUGGGCGUAAAGCGUGCGUAGGCGGUUUUGUAAGUUUGGUGUGAAAUCUCCCGGCUCAACUGGGAGGGUGCGCCGAAAACUGCAAGGCUGGAGUGUGGGAGAGGUAGGCGGAAUUCCUGGUGUAGCGGUGAAAUGCGUAGAUAUCAGGAGGAACACCUGUGGUGUAGACGGCUUACUGGACCAUAACUGACGCUGAGGCACGAAAGCGUGGGGAGCAAACAGGAUUAGAUACCCUGGUAGUCCACGCCCUAAACGAUGCAUACUUGUGUGGCAGUUCAUUCUGUCUGUGCGGAGCUAACSCUUAGUAUGCCGCUGGGAGUCGGUCCAAGCUGAACUCAAGGAUUGCG